rnacentral:rRNA from 14 species
AACUACAUUCAUAGCACUUGAACUACCUACAAACAAACCUUCAUGCUUUAAUAACAAAUGUGCCAUAUUUACUGCUUCUUGAUCACUUACUUGUAUAGCAUCAUCAAUCACUCGUGUUGUUG